rnacentral:rRNA from 1 species
UACGAAGGGGGCUAGCGUUGUUCGGAAUUACUGGGCGUAAAGCGCACGUAGGCGGAUUGGUCAGUUAGAGGUGAAAUCCCGGAGCUCAACUCCGGAACUGCCUUUAAUACUGCCAAUCUAGAGACCGAGAGAGGUAAGUGGAACUCCUAGUGUAGAGGUGGAAUUCGUAGAUAUUAGGAAGAACACCAGUGGCGAAGGCGGCUUACUGGCUCGGAACUGACGCUGAGGUGCGAAAGCGUGGGGAGCAAACAGGAUUAGAUACCCCGGUAGUCC